rnacentral:rRNA from 1 species
UACAGAGGUCUCAAGCGUUGUUCGGAUUCAUUGGGCGUAAAGAGCGUGUAGGCGGCCGUACAGGUCAGCUGUGAAAACUCGAGGCUCAACCUCGAGACGUCGGUUGAAACCGUACGGCUAGAGUCCGGAAGAGGAGAGUGGAAUUCCCGGUGUAGCGGUGAAAUGCGCAGAUAUCGGGAAGAACACCCGUGGCGAAGGCGGCUCUCUGGGACGGUACUGACGCUGAGACGCGAAAGCGUGGGGAGCGAACAGG